rnacentral:rRNA from 1 species
AGAACGAACGCUGGCGGCAGGCUUAACACAUGCAAGUCGAACGCCCCGCAAGGGGAGUGGCAGACGGGUGAGUAACGCGUGGGAAUCUACCCAGUUCUACGGAACAACUGAGGGAAACUUCAGCUAAUACCGUAUACGCCCGAUAGGGGAAAGAUUUAUCGGAAUUGGAUGAGCCCGCGUUGGAUUAGCUAGUUGGUGGGGUAAUGGCCUACCAAGGCGACGAUCCAUAGCUGGUCUGAGAGGAUGAUCAGCCACACUGGGACUGAGACACGGCCCAGACUCCUACGGGAGGCAGCAGUGGGGAAUAUUGGACAAUGGGCGCAAGCCUGAUCCAGCCAUGCCGCGUGAGUGAUGAAGGCCUUAGGGUUGUAAAGCUCUUUCAGUAGGGACGAUAAUGACGGUACCUACAGAAGAAGCCCGGCUAACUUCGCGCCAGCAGCCGC